rnacentral:lncRNA from 1 species
GGUUCCUACACCAUUCGACUUGUACGAUCGCACACCCGGUGUGGUAGAUCCGGAAACUCUAACGCAUCAUCAUUUGACAGAUCGACAUUAUGCAUGUGGGCUGGAGGUGAGUAUGCUCUGAAUCGUGGAUUUUCUUCAUUAUCUGCACUCCUAUCACCAUCUUCACCUUCCGUUGGAAUAUGCUCCGGUUCAGAAAAUAAUCCCACCUCUGCACCAUUUGGCCCGGGCUAAAUGACAGUCACACCGUAUUCUCCGACAAAAAAACAACACCAUUCUCCGUGUGGCAAACCUCACCAACGUAGUAAAUAACAGCACUAAUACGUUCAUUCAUUUUGAAACUCUAAGUUUCUUAGCAUCUCUAAAAUGUUUCUGC